GUUCAGAGUGAAAGAGGAGGAGGAUGUUACAGUAAAAGAAGAGUGAGUAUUCAGUUUGUGUAGUGGAAGAGAGGGAGAUGACUGUCACAUCGAAAAUGGAGGAGGAAGAAGAGGAGGGAACUGAAUACCUGGGCCCGGUUUCCAAAGGGCAUCUUAAUCCAAUGGUUCUAACGGUGAACUUAGCCAUAAGAUGGUUUUGAGAAACCGUUCCAUGAUUAACACUAGACACACGAGACUGGGGAAAUAUAGGACCAAGCACCGAGAAUGUAAAAUUGGCUGGUGCUGGUGGCCUUCCUCUCCUCUGAAGACCCACUGAGGGUGGAGCUCAGUCAGAGAGCUGUUGAGGGACUGGUUAGGAAGAACACUUCUACAGCCAGAGAGACAAUGUCAAAAGCCCAUCCUGGUAGAUCUGAACCUAAUGCAGCUUGGAGUGAUCGGAUGACAGACAUCACAUUUAGGGGCAGUCAAAAGCAGAGCUGUGGGAGACCACCUCAAUCCCCUGGUAGAGCCGGAGGUGGUGUUUACCACUCCACCACACCUGCAGCAGGCUUGAAACGUGGGAUUGAUACUGAUUUUCAUACUAAGAGGGACCAAGAGUCUGUUGAUUGGUCAGUCAUUGGGUUCAUUUGUUGAAAUCAAAUCCAGCUUUAUUUAUACAGCACAUUUCAGACAUGGAUGCAACACAAUGGCUUCACAGGAAAAAACAAGUAAAGUAAUGAAAAGAAACAGAAAUAUUUAGUACACAACAAACAGAAGACUAACAACUGAAUGGGCACCCCAAGGAAAUGCCAUGGAUUAAAAUAUUAAUUGGAUGCAAUAUCCAACCCAAAAUACAAGCUUGUUGUUUUUUUAGGAGGGGCUCUGAAAGACUAUGGGAGUGUCCACUGAAUCUUGACAAGUAACAACAACUGGGACCGAAAAGACACCCACUAAAUCUGUCCAUGAAGAGGCAAACAAAAGAAAAACCCACAACAAACUUAGACAGGACGCAACCAAAAAGGUGGUUAAAAUAAUUUAUUACAAUCAAUACCAUUCAUACUAUUACAAAAUCAUAAUUCUCAUUCAUUCUUAAUUAAUUAUAUUUAC